UACGGAGGGAGCUAGCGUUGUUCGGAAUUACUGGGCGUAAAGCGCACGUAGGCGGCUUUGUAAGUUAGAGGUGAAAGCCUGGAGCUCAACUCCAGAACUGCCUUUAAGACUGCAUCGCUUGAAUCCAGGAGAGGUGAGUGGAAUUCCGAGUGUAGAGGUGAAAUUCGUAGAUAUUACGGAAGAACACCAGUGGCGAAGGCGGCUCACUGGACUGGUAUUGACGCUGAGGUGCGAAAGCGUGGGGAGCAAACAGG
rnacentral:rRNA from 1 species